rnacentral:lncRNA from 10 species
ACACAGUGGAGUUCAGUUCUGAUUCCAAAAGUCAGAUUCCUGAUCAUAUUCUGCCACUAGAGUACAUACCUCUCACCGUGGUCAUACUCUGGACCUCGGACUCCCAGAAUGUGGCUGCUGAGCAGAAGUGCGUCUGGGGCUGCUCCACACGGUGCUGCGCUGGGACACUGGGGCCUGCUGCAGACCCUCCCUGCAGCUGCUGCCUUGGGACUGUGAAACCAGAGUCUGCUAGGAAGGCUCUGCAACUCACACGCUCAGUUAGGCUUUAAUAUUUUAUGCCAGCUGCCAAUAAGGACUCAGGUGACAAGAGUCACUUCAGGAAAGGAGCGUGCAGAAAGCAUGGACCCCGUCAUCUCUCAUUCAGGGUCCGCAUCAGACUAAAGCGAUCCCACAAGAGAAAAGCUAAAAGGAAGCAGAGCCGUGAACAGCCUGUGGCUGGUGGGAGCCUGGCGUCAGCGAGCUCAGGGUCUCACUUCAGUGACUUGGCAGCCAGUAGCUUCCCUUGGGCCAUGGCCACAGGCCACAUCUCAGUGUCUGGUUGGCUCUACGUCCAAGGCCACUGCCGGCUGCAGAGACGUGGUGAGGGCUGAGGCCAGACAGCUGAGGGCCCUGGCUGACCUGCUGGCCCAUUCACCUGAACAAGGUUCACCCAGGGCAGUUUCCACAAAUCCGGAGCAGAGCCAGAGAGCCAGCCCAUGCCUGGCACAGAGGAGACGCUCAACACCUGUCAUCCCUUCCCUUCUCCUGCCUGUCCCUCAGAGUUCCUGGAGCUUCCGUUCUGCUGAGCCUCAUGCUGCCCAUGCGACACAUCACGACCAUUUUCAGGACCACAACCUCCCUGUCCCAUGGCCGUUUUCUGAGGUCUAGAAGUCACCCCCUUGGGCUUAAGCAACCACGAGGCCAUGGAUGGUCACAAAUUUCCCUGGGCUGCACUCCACAAACCCUCCAGUGGGCACAGCACGUGUCUCUCACAUUUUGGAGAGAAAGGAACUGAGAACUCCCAUUUCUGGAACCCCAUGCCAGUUCUAGAAGGUUCCAUCCUGAAGAUGAAAGCUGAUUUGUCAUCUGUGGUGUGUCCCAAGAAAAGAAAAAUACCUCAUUUUGUACUGAGCACUAACUACACACCAGGUGCCUAUUGAAGCCUCUGAGGGCUGUCCUGAGACCAUCUUCUGGACAAAGCACACAUGUAAAGG